rnacentral:rRNA from 1 species
UACGGAGGGUGCAAACGUUGCUCGGAAUCAUUGGGCGUAAAGCGCACGUAGGCGGCCUGAUAAGUCGGGUGUGAAAGCCCUGGGCUCAACCCAGGAAGUGCACUCGAAACUGUCAGGCUUGAAUAUGGAAGAGGGUCGCGGAAUUCCCGGUGUAGAGGUGAAAUUCGUAGAUAUCGGGAGGAACACCAGGGGCGAAGGCGGCGACCUGGGCCAAUAUUGACGCUGAGGUGCGAAAGCGUGGGGAGCAAACAGG